UACAGAGGUCUCAAGCGUUGUUCGGAAUCACUGGGCGUAAAGCGCACGUAGGCGGAUUGCUAAGUCAGGGGUGAAAUCCUGGAGCUCAACUCCAGAACUGCCUUUGAUACUGGCGACCUUGAGUCCGGGAGAGGUGAGUGGAACUGCGAGUGUAGAGGUGAAAUUCGUAGAUAUUCGCAAGAACACCAGUGGCGAAGGCGGCUCACUGGCCCGAUACUGACGCUGAGGCACGAAAGCGUGGGGAGCAAACAGG
rnacentral:rRNA from 1 species